rnacentral:sRNA from 1 species
AACUAAUAGGAUUCCCUUAGUAAUGGCGAAUGAACAGGGAUCAGCUCAGUAUGGAAAUCGGGGCUUCCCAGCCUUGAAUUGUAGUCUCAAGAGGUAUCGCCAACGGAGGCGCAGAUGUAAGCCUCUUGGAAAAGAGCAUCAAUGAGGGUGAGAAUCCCGUUUGUCAUCUGCAGUCCCCCGUGCACGGUGUAUCUUCUAAGAGUCGCGUUCCUCGGGAUUGGAGCGUAAAGUGGGUGGUAAAUUUCAUCUAAGGCUAAAUAUGGGUUCGAGACCGAUAGCAAACAAGUACCAUGAGGGAAAGAUGAAAAGGACUUUGAAAAGAGAGUUAAAAGUGCCUGAAAUUGCUGAAAGGGAAGCGAAUGGAACCAGUGCUCUUGGCGAGAUUGUUGUGCGCUAUGGUGAUUGCUGGCUGCUUCAGCGCAAGCGGGGUAGUUGGUACUGAGCCUGCCGCGCGCAGUGUUUCUUACCUUGUGCGUCACCGUCGGUUCACAGGCGAGGAUACUUCUGAGGACAUGGUAACUCUUCCACGGAGGUGUGAAUGUCUUUGGUAAUACUCGUUUGUAGACCGCUCACCUUCGGGUUACGAUGACUAAAUGGUUCUAUUCGACCCGUCUUGAAACACGGGAACCAAGGA